rnacentral:misc_RNA from 1 species
AGGCUUAGUUGAGUUGAGUUGUAUGAAUCAUUUGAUGAAUCCCAUAGCACUCACUUUUAGCAGGGAAAACCACAAGUACGUCUCCAUAAAAGUUCAGAGGCAUGCAAUACGCAACAUACCCCAUGAACCUACAUUAGGCUCAUGCUGAGUAACAACAUCUAAGGAAUGUAUAUUCCCACAUAUACAUUUCAGCUACGAAUUAAGAAUGCAAAAGCAAUACUCAACUCAAUUUAACGGAAUUAAGUCUUUAUCCCAAAAAUU